rnacentral:lncRNA from 1 species
CUAAGUUAGAAUUGAAAAUCACACCAGAAACUAAGUUUUCUCUCUUUCUCUCUCUAAAUUAUCGAGCGUAUUCUUGUGAGUAUACUUUGAGUGUUGCUAUACGGUGCGGGUUUCUGUCAGCACUAUACCGAAAUUCAGUCAGAAGUACGGUUAUUUUGAGGUAAGGGGUAUUAUUUUCUUCUUAAAUGAUAUUUUUUUCUUCAAUAUCAUUAUGCCGAAGUAUUGGUGAACUUUUUUAUCAAAUUUGGAACUUGUUGUGUCGGGGUUACUAUUCACGUAUACCGCACUAUUCAC